AAUAAAUAGAUUAUUCUUGUUCCCGAAACGAAAAGAUCUAAAUGUCAAUGUUAUAAGUAGAAUUAAAAUUUCUCUGUAGCAUUAGAGUAAAUCAACCUUCAUUUAGUGGUGAAACGCUUUCAAUUUUUGUGAUAUCUGGAUAAAAAAUAAAUAUAUUUAGUUUUUAAUAUAAUUACAAAGUGAUAAGAUUUUGUAAAAGUAAUUAUUUGAGUGUCCUAUAAAUUUUUCUUUAUUAAAUAUUUAAUGAAAAAAAUAAAUUAUAAAAUACACCUUCUACUAAUUAUUAUAAAAUAUUUUUAAAUUCUAUUUAAUAAGGAUAAGAGUAAAUAAUGUAUAAAUAAGUAUCUAUAUAAAAUUAUUUUAAGGAACUCGGCAAAAAUAUGUACGACUGUUUAACAAAAACAUAGCUAGUAGUAUAUUAAUUAUUAGUGAUACCUGCCCAGCGAACUCUUUAAGCGGCCGCAGUACUCUGACUGUGCAAAGGUAGCAUAAUCAUUUGGCUUUUAAUUGGAGUCUUGUAUGAACGGAUAAACGUAUAUAGGCUGUCUUAAAGUAAAUCUAUAAAAAUUAGUUAAGGAGGUGAAAAUACCCCCAAUAAACAAAAAAGACGAGAAGACCCUUAGAAUUUUUAGAAAUAGUAAUAUAAAUUAUUUAGAUUUUUGUUGGGGCAACAAUUUUUCAUAUAUAAAUAAAAAAGUACUUAUAAAACAUAACAAAUAUAAUUAAUUAAGAAUAAAUUACCUAAGGGAUAACAGCAUAAUUAUAAUUUUUAGAUUGUGACCUCGAUGUUGGAUUAGGAAUUAUUAAGGCUAGCGGUUUUAAUAAAAUUAGUUCUGUUCGAACAUUAGCUCCUA
rnacentral:rRNA from 1 species